AAGUACGUGCGUGGAGGUAUUAAUAGACUCUUUCACAGGGAAGAGGACACUCGAAGUAGCCGGUUGAAAUUGUCAAUAUUCCUGCUGCUAAUGUAGCCUCAAUUUGGUUUUAGUGUUGCAAAGAACAUCAAGUGCAGACAAUCUUGAGGAUCAAUGAUAUCUUUUGCUAUACUAGAUGAAUCACUAGUACAUUCAAACAAUUGAUACCUUGGACAAAAGAAGAGGUCAGAACGUACUCUUAUCUUGGUGUGGAACUAAAUGGUGGAAUGUUGCAUAAAGAGUCUUUGGGAGAUCGAGCGUGGAGUACAAAGCAAUGCAGCAAGCUAUAUUUUCCUUCAUCAUGUAAAACUUAACCAGGAAACUUAAAUGGUUUUUAGUCUAUGAGAUGUAUGAAUGCUUUAGCAAUGUUCCUUAAAUUCAAUAUUUUAUGAAUUGAUGUAUCACAAUGAUUUUGGUACAAAUGUUGAUCAUUUGAUGGUUUGCAUUCAA